UACGUAGGGGGCGAGCGUUGUCCGGAAUUACUGGGCGUAAAGGGUGCGUAGGCGGUUAUCUAAGUUGGAUGUGAAAUACCCGGGCUUAACCUGGGGGGUGCAUUCAAUACUGGGUGACUAGAGUACAGGAGAGGGAAGCGGAAUUCCUAGUGUAGCGGUGAAAUGCGUAGAUAUUAGGAGGAACACCAGUGGCGAAGGCGGCUUUCUGGACUGUAACUGACGCUGAGGCACGAAAGCGUGGGGAGCAAACAGGAUUAGAUACCCUGGUAGUCCACGCUGUAAACGAUGGAUACUAGGUGUAGGGGACGAACGUCCUCUGUGCCGCAGCAAACGCAGUAAGUAUCCCGCCUGGGGAGUACGACCGCAAGGUUGAA
rnacentral:rRNA from 1 species